UCUUCGGCAAUGGGGGGAACCCUGACCGAGCAACGCCGCGUGAGUGAAGAAGGUUUUCGGAUCGUAAAGCUCUGUUGUAAGAGAAGAACGUGUGUGAGAGUGGAAAGUUCACACAGUGACGGUAACUUACCAGAAAGGGACGGCUAACUACGUGCCAGCAGCCGCGGUAAUACGUAGGUCCCGAGCGUUGUCCGGAUUUAUUGGGCGUAAAGCGAGCGCAGGCGGUUUGAUAAGUCUGAAGUAAAAGGCUGUGGCUUAACCAUAGUAUGCUUUGGAAACUGUCAAACUUGAGUGCAGAAGGGGAGAGUGGAAUUCCAUGUGUAGCGGUGAAAUGGGUAGAUAUAUGGAGGAACACCGGUGGCGAAAGCGGCUCUCUGGUCUGUAACUGACGCUGAGGCUCGGA
rnacentral:rRNA from 1 species